rnacentral:tRNA from 1 species
AUUCUUGUAGUUGAAUGAACAACGAUAGUUUUUCAAGUUAUUGGUCUUGGUUAAAAUCCAGGUGGGAAUAA